rnacentral:rRNA from 1 species
UACGUAGGUGGCAAGCGUUGUCCGGAUUUAUUGGGCGUAAAGCGCGCGCAGGUGGUUCCUUAAGUCUGAUGUGAAAUCUCGCGGCUCAACCGCGAGCGGUCAUUGGAAACUGGGGAACUUGAGUGCAGAAGAGGAUAGUGGAAUUCCAAGUGUAGCGGUGAAAUGCGUAGAGAUUUGGAGGAACACCAGUGGCGAAGGCGACUGUCUGGUCUGUAACUGACACUGAGGCGCGAAAGCGUGGGGAGCAAACAGG